ensembl:lncRNA ZNF295-AS1 ZNF295 antisense RNA 1
AAAGCAAAUCAUCGGGAAUAACCCGGGAGCCUGGCAGGGAAACCGCUGCACUAUGGAGAGGACGCUUCCAGAUACAGAGGACAAAUCAAGUGAAGGGACGGAACAGGUCACACCCAGAGCGGCACAGAGGUGUGUGAGCUGUUCCCACGGUAGUCAGAGCCUCUGUUCCAACUGUCCUCCCGCUGGGCUCUCUCCGGUCCCCAGUGCAUGGGCUGGAGUGUGGCCCCUGGCAGAGCCCUGGAGGCCGGCUCUGCUUCCUGCCCCCUUCCAGCCUGGAGCAGCCCGAGGGCGCAGCAUUCCUGGGGCAGGCCUGAGCCCUGUGGUGGGCUGAGUUGAGUCCCCAGAAAGGUAGAUUGAAGCCCAAACUCUCUGUAUGUUUGAACGUGACCUUAUUUGGAAAAAGAGUCUUUGCAGAUGUGUUCAGGUUCAGAUGAGGUCAUCCUGGAUUAGGGUGAGUCCUAAAUCCAAUGCUGUGACCUUAUAAUUGGGGGAUGCACAGGGAGAGGCCGCAUGAAGAUGCAGGCCAAGACUGGGGCACUGCUGCUCCAAGCCAAGGAGCACCAAGGACUGAAGACGCCCGCGGGGCGCUGGGCAAGGUGCAGAGGGAUUCUUCCUGGGGGCUUCAGAGGAGGGUGGUCCUGCCCACACCUCACUUUUGGACUUCUACUCUCCGGAACUUUGAAAGAACACAUUUCUGUGGUUUUCAGCCACCUGGUUUGUGGGAAUUUGUUAUGGCAGCCCCAGAAAACGAAUACAGGCAACAUCACUUAGUGCUUAAGAAAGAGCCUGUGCCCGGGCGCGGAGGCUCACGCCUAGAAUCCCAGCACUUUAGAGGCUGAGGCAGGAGGAUCGCUUGAGCCCAGGAAUUUGAGACCAGCCUGGGCAACAAAGUAAGAUCCUGUCUCUACAAAAAAUAAAAAAAAUUAGCUGGGCGUGGUGAUGCGCGCCUGUGUUUCCAGCUACAUGAGAGGCAGAGGCGGGAGGAUCGCUUGAGCCCAGGAAGUCAAGGCUGCAGUGAACCAUGUUGGCACCACUGCACUCCAGCUUGGGUGACAGAGUGAGACCCUGAAAAAAAAAAAAGUCUGUGGGCCCACGUCUCACAUCCUGACCCCGCCGGCGAUCAACUGUGUGACCUUGAGUGAGUUACUUAAACUCUCUGUGCCUCGGUCUCCCCAUGGGUUGUGGAAGGGUUGAGUUGAUGAGUGUAAAGUAUGCAGACAACAGCCAGGUGCCCAGCAUGAUGUAAACACCGCAAGAGCACUGGCUGUUGUGAAAGGUGCCGUGUUUAAGAAUUGGAGUUUCCCAACGGGUUCAGUAUUAGUACCUGUUCUUUAGGGCACAGACUUGUUCUGUGCCAUUUUACCUGUAUCCAUUUCAACCAGACUUACAUCUUUUCGAAGGAAGGCCUGAGAAAAUCUCAAUUCUCAACUGGAGUGAUGAUUCAAACCCCUUGUUUCCCUUCCUUUUCUUUGGGGUCUCUGUUAGUUUCCUGUGGCCAAUGUAAUUAAUUACCACAAGCAGGGAGCUUAAACAUCAGAAUGCAUCUUUCACAAUCUGGAGACCAGAAAUCCAGGUGCAGGAUUUUACAGGGCCAUGCUGCCUCUGAAGGCACCAGGGUAGGGUCCCUCCUCGCCUCUCCCAGUUUGCUGGCAUGCCGGCAAGGCUCGGCACUCCUUGGCAGGCACCAGCCGUGCUCCAAUCACUGCCUGUCUUUGCAUGGUCAUCUUCUUGUGUUUCUCUGUAUCUCUCCUCGUAUAAGGUCCUUGGUCAUUGGAUUCAGGACCCACCUUACUCCAGCAUGACUUCAUCAUCACUUAAUUACAUCUGCAAGAACCCUGUUUCCAAAUAAGGUGACAUUCUUAGGUACUGGGGGUGAGUAUGUAUCUUUUCUUCAACAUAUCUUUUUGGUGGAAUGCAAUUCAACCCAGAACACCACCUCUCACGAAAACGGCUAAAAACGGCUGGGGAGGCAUUUUCAAGAACUUUCACUAACAAAUUUUAAAGAAUAGAUUUCACUGUAAGCCUUGGGCAGCCACUGAAGAGUGUGUUGGAAUAGCUGCUGAGUGUCGGCCACUACUGGGUGACGUUUCCUUAAUGGCUGGAAGAGUGAAGGAAUUAGGGCCGAGCGUGUAUGCACAAAAACUUCUUCUGUUUUGACUGUAUGGGCUUCUUCCUUUCAUUUGUUCAUUUAGCAAACAUGUAUUGCCUUCUUUUGUCUUCUAGGAUCUAUGAAAGAUAAAAUGUGGUGUGAGGACACGGCCCAGCCCCACCGUCGUCUUCCAGCCCCACCAUCGUCUUCCAGCCCCACCGUCGUCUUCCAGUCCCACCGUCGUCUUCUAGCCCCACCAUCGUCGUCUUGGACUCUCUGGGUGGCACCACGCUGUGGGUGCUGCUCUCCUCUGUGUCCCAAACGAGUUUGUGCCUCACUUUGUCGGGUUUUGGCUGUGACUUGGAGCCUCACCAAGCUCCCUUUUCCUCUGUCUCCCAUUCUCCUCUCCAGGCCAGGGUGGCUUCCCCAGCCCUCCUCCCCGGGUCCUGCCUGUGCCGAGCCUUCCUCCCAGGAGGGAGGUGAUACUGACUUGAGAUCUUAUGGGUGUUUUGUUUGUGGCUGGGCCUGGCCGACCCUCUCUCCACGGCCUUAGAUCACACUCUGGAUGGAUAGGACAGUCGUCCUCAAUACUGAGCCUCUUUGGAGCAUACCCACUGAUGGUGGUUCACAAGCUACCCACGCCCACAGGCUGACCCAGAUCUCCGUGAAAUUAAAAAAUACUGUGAAAGGAAAAAGAGCCAAUGUCAUGUGGAUAAUGAAGUGUCAGCCACUGAAAAAUCUCAAAAUAAUAAACAUGGCUUGUUUGUCAGGGUUCUCUAG